rnacentral:lncRNA from 1 species
GUAAGGAAGUAAAUAGAGAGUAAUCUACUGUAUGUGCUUUAGAAGUGAUUUGAACAGUACCUGAAGUUGCAGAUGGAAGUCGUACAGGAGGCGUUGUGUCAUAAUGCGUUGCCUGGUCGAUCUGGUACCCGCUGUGAUCUGAACAUCAUGGAGAACAGAACACUAGAUUCAUUCAUUGCAUCCACCUAAUUUUCUAACGUUGCUAUGGGCACAGCCAAACAACGGAAGUGAUGGAUUCGAUUUCCGCUUUACUUACCUAGUGCAGCGUGCAUGUGGCAAAUUUGCUGGAUUAAAUUAUUUGAAGGAGUCCAUUUGUAGAGUAUGAAAGUCAAGUAAACAAGUUUUAGUCUACAAGGUCCAGGCACAUAAGGUCAUGCUGCUGCCAUCGUGGGCUCUCCGACCGGGGAGGAAGGAGACCCAUGGGAAUGCUGUCUCUGCCCCUCCAGCUCCCCUCCUGCCACCCGCCCCAGGGUACUCUCUCCUGGGCAUCGUCGUAGCUGGACUGGACCCCUCCUGGGAGCUGCUGGAGGUCAGACCUGCCUCUCUGCCCCCCGGCUCCAUCAUCCCUGGGGUAGGGGUUACCAUGUGGGUUACUGUGAUGGGAUUGGGAUUUCCUGGAAGGACUUUGGAGAGAAGGACAGAGGAGAUAACAUUACUGGUGCGUUGUUGUAUAAACCCUGCAUCAGUCAGUCCAACGCCUUAAUCAUUACACUCAUAAGGUUGCUGAUGGUGUUCUAAGAAUCAUGCUACAAUAUUAUUAUAGACAUAUGACAUCUGUCAUAGACAAUAAUGUUUUUUUUUCUGUGGCGCUAUAAAGUGAG